rnacentral:rRNA from 1 species
GUUCCAUCCUCCUCUUUCCUCCCUUCAGCCCAAGUGAUGGCCGAUCUUAUUGGGCCUAAAGCGUCCGUAGCUGGCUGCGCAAGUCCGUCGGGAAAUCCACUCGCCCAACGAGUGGGCGUCCGACGGAAACUGCACAGCUUGGGACCGGAAGGCUCGAAGGGUACGUUCGGGGUAGGAGUGAAAUCCUAUAAUCCCGCACGGACCACCGAUGGCGAAAGCACUUCGAGAAAACGGAUCCGACAGUGAGGGACGAAAGCCAGGGUCUCCAACCGGAUUAGAUACCCCUGUAGUCC